UCUGGCAGGUGGAAUUCUUUCCCUGCAAUGGGAGGGGAAGCAGUAGGACCAAUCUGUGGGCAUAAGCAGUCUCUUGAACUGUGUAGAGAGCAGUGCUCAGAUAUGGGCUAAAAUCCUGUAAUUUACUUCAGUGGGACAUGAGAUUGGGCAGAUUUUGAGACCAAGGAAAGAAACUUAGCCUGAGGAAUGAGGACCACACUACCAUUGCUUUAUUCUGCACAGGUAGCAUGCAAAGAAUGGACUUUUACAAAUGUUCCUAAAUGUUAUCUCUUUUAUUAAUAAGUUGGACAGUAACUCAUCUCCAGAUAUUCACACUAGUUUGUCAGCAUGGAAUAUCUUGGCUUAGAGCUGAUAAUUCUGUGAUGAGAUGAGGCGGGAGAAUGCAAGGUGAAUCUGAAGGAGGAAUCAUUUUGGAACCAAAAGAUAUCAUCAUACCAGACACUCUGAAGAAAACAAUUCAGAUCCAGCUGAAACUAAGACAAAGUUGCAUUAAAAAGUUGUGUGUAUCCUCUAAGGGAAACAUCUGUUCUGAAUAACAGUGAGGGUAGAAACUGUUUCUGCAGUCAUAGAAGAUUGUCAUUCCAUCCCAGACAAACAUGCAAAGGAAACAACUUUUCUCCUGUUCCUGGGAAGGAGGGCAGUAUGAAGCUGGGGCAAAACAGAGCUAGACACCAAGCAGUUAUGGCAAGUGUAAUAAUGAACAGAGCCAAUGGUAGCGGCAACUAUUACACAGAUGUCAUGGGGGAAUCCCAGACCCCAAUGAGCAUGUAUGGUACCAUGAAGACACCUGAACUUCUGUGGUUACUGGGGUCAAUUGAUUUUUAACAAGUUCUAUUGUAUUGCUUUAUGGUUUGAUCAACAGCUAGGUUUUAUUGGAAAAGGACCAUUUGAAAAGCCAUACCUACUGAACAGAUGAAACAAGCUACUUGGUCUAUAGUGUCAAGCAGUUUGAUGCACCAGACUUAGUCGAUUUGCUUGUGGGUGAUCACUGAGCAACGUGGUCUCUGAAGGUGAGGAAGCUGAUCAGCUCAUUCACACAGCACCAGUCUCAUGAUUACUCAGUCCCACAUAGAAAGCAGAAGACGAAAACAAACAAACAGCAACAAAAUGUGCCUACCAGGACAAAAUGCAUGUCUCUUGUGUGCUAGCUACCUAAGUAAGUGUGGUAGGGUGCAUGCCAAGGAGGAAGACUGUGUUUGCAGAGGGCAUAGGAAAACUCAGCAGCAACAAAAAGGAGAAACAGCUGAAUUGCAUCUGUAUAUUCCACCCUCUGCCAUUUCAAAUGCUUCUUUCUUCACAGUGAAGGGGAGGACUGUGCAGAGCCUUCCAUGCUGAGCUGCUAAAUGAAUUUUUCUUCAUGAAGGCUGGGGGGGAAAUGAGGCUGCCAGUGACUCCCAUCUUCAACUAUUGGAGUGUAAUUGUGCCCAGGGCCAGGCAGCUGCUGCUUCCUGCCCCGAAAUGGAAAGGCAGCAGUGCUUGUAUUUUUAAGGAGGAUUUUGACUGAAGCAAAAUAAAGCAGUGGCAAAACAUACAAACAGAGCUUAAUGAGAAGGCUCUUGAUUCUUUUCUUCAUAUUGGAAGGAAAAAGAAAAGCUCAGAGACAGACAGCAGUCACAGCUGAAUCUUGUAGGAAAAAAAGAUUUCAUGGGGCUGGAGGAGCUUGGACAGAUGGGGACAAGAAGGUUAAAAAAUAAAAAAGUCAGCAAACCUGGCACUAAUUACUAAUAACUAAAAGCUAGGACCAGGAGAAAGCUCAUAUCCCAUUUCUUCUUUGUGUAAUAUAUGGGGACUCCUUGCCCUCUGAAGUUUGCCCAUAUACUGCCAUGAGGAUGCUACCCUUGUCUGUACUGAGCAGGGUAGUGUUCUCCAUGGGCAAAUAUCCAUCCCCAAAAGUGCCACACAGCCCAGUAAUGCUCUGUUUUAACUGCUCUUAGAAAACACACAGAUUUCUCUGCUGUGUCACAGUGGGCCAUGUGUCCACACUGCAGAGGCCUUGAGGAACCCUGGGAAUACAGUUGUUAUAUCUUGUCCAGUAUUUUCUUCAUUCUGUGGCUCAUCUGUCCUGUUCGUUUGCCUCUCACCUGGCUGUCACUGCCCUACCCUGCUCUCUCCAGUUCUUCAGUAGCACAACCAGUGAAGCAAUCCUGAGGCAACAGCAAAUUGUUUUAUAACACUGACCCUAAAAUGGGAGUGUCCUGUGUGUCCCGAGGCAAAAUGCCAUGGAGAUCUUCAUGAUGUGAUACAGUAAGCAGAUAAUCCAAUUUCAGCUUCAAAUCAUGGUCCAUUCAAAAAGAGAUUCACAUUCUUUUAUCAAGAAUCUCAAAAUGGGAGGGUUUCUCAUAGGUUUCCCUUUAAUGCAUGCCAUACAUUUGCCCUGAGCAGGGAAGCUAGCACCCCUAAAACAUCUAAAAAGGGAGAGGCGUUAGCCACGCAGAAAAGUAUAUUUUUCUCCAUUAUCUAUGGUUUGUAUUUAUUCCUGACAAAGUGAUCUGGCUUGAGAAGAUGUUGCCCAACAUCAUCUAAUGCAACUGAGAGCUGAUGAGAGUAGAACAGCAACAAAUGUUCUUGCUAGUUCUCACAAACUUGGGAUAAAUUAUCAAAAAAAAAGGCUUGUUCUAAAUAUUAAUAUCACUAGAAGUCCCUAUGCCUAUGAAAAAAAUAUGUGGAAGUAGUUCUGAUAAUGUUGAAAGUAAGAUUAUUCCUGACCAGGAACUCUGCACAAGAAAAAAUAAGAAGAAAGGAAAAAAAAAGAGGUCUGCAUAGCAUUACCAUAGAGAAGCCUUGUCAAGAGAAUGUUUUCCUUUGCUUUUCCAUUUUAGUGUUAGAGAUGUGUGUCUUGAACUGCUAAUUCUACCACCCAGCAAAAUAGAGAAAACUUUAGGUGCUGGGAGAUUGAAACACACUUCAUUCCUUUGAUGGCCAUAAUUUACUGUAUCUCUAAGUGCAUCUUGGCUCCUUCUCAUAGGUUAUUGGAUACCUUGCAACCCAGGAAGGAGGGCAGGGGAAAAUCAACAUCUUAUGUAGCACCUACUUGGAUUUGACCUUUUGGGUCCAAAUCCCUUGCAGAAGGUUAAAUAGAUGCAACUGUUUGGAGUAAAUUCUCUUCCGAAUAUAGCAACUUCCAGCUUUCCCUUCUGCAUGAAUUCUCCAUAUCAACAUUCUCCAGCCGUCUCAAACACACCAGUUGUUCUGCAAGUGGUUUGGCUUUCCAAAUCACUGUCAUGACAUUUACAGAAGAAGCUCCCACAGCUCCUCCAUCAUUUCUUUAUUUUCCUUCUGUGACCUUUUUCCAGUUUGUCUCCUGGAACACCUUUUCCUCCUCCUCUAUUCCUAUUUUUCUCUCCAAAUGGCACUGGUCAUCUCUCUGUGCCUAAUUAUGCUCAAACCACGGCUGUUGUAGAAGCUUUUUCCCCUUGUAUCUCCCACCAUCUGGAACAGAGUCUUUUUUUCUGUUGUUUCUUUCUGCCUCACUGCCUCUCCAUCUACGUUCAAAUCUCAUCUGAAAACAUCUCUGCUCCCAUGCCUGUGCCUCUUAAUUUCUCUCUCCCUCU
ensembl:lncRNA